rnacentral:rRNA from 1 species
GAUGAACGCUGGCGGCGUGCCUAAUACAUGCAAGUCGAACGAACAGAUACGGAGCUUGCUCCUUUGACGUUAGCGGAAGACGGGUGUGUAACAUGAGUAUCACCUACCUAUCAGACUGGGAUCUCUUCGGGAAACCGGCGCUAACACCGGAUAACCUAUUGCACCGCAUGGUUCAAUGGUGAGAGGCGGCGUUGCUGUCACUUCUAGAGGCAUCUAGGCCGUAUUAGCUAGUUGGUACGGUCACGGCUUACCAAGGGAAGGAGACGUAAACGACGUGAUGGAGGGAUCGGCCACAUGGGAGCGUGGACAGGUCCCAGGGUCCUACGGGAGGCAGCAGUAGGGAACCGUCCGCAAUAGGCGAAAGCCUGACGGAGCGAGGGCGCGUGAGUGAUGAAGGUCUUCGGAUCGUAAAAAUGGGUUAUCAGGUAUGAACAGAUGUGUAAGUAACUGUGCACAUCUUGACGGUACCGGAUCAGAAAGCCACGGCUAACUACGUG